UACGUAGGGACCAAGCGUUGUCCGGAAUCAUUGGGCGUAAAGCGCGCGUAGGCGGCCCGGUAAGUCCGUUGUAAAAGUCGAAGGCUCAACCUUCGAAAGCCGAUGGAUACUGCCGGGCUAGAGUACGGAAGAGGCGAGUAGAAUUCCUGGUGUAGCGGUGGAAUGCGCAGAUAUCAGGAGGAACACCAGUGGCGAAAGCGGCCACCUGGACUGCACCUGACGCUGACACGCGAAAGCUAGGGGAGCGAACGGG
rnacentral:rRNA from 1 species